UACGAAGGGGGCUAGCGUUGUGCGGAAUUACUGGGCGUAAAGCGCGCGUAGGCGGACAUUUAAGUCAGGGGUGAAAUCCCAGAGCUCAACUCUGGAACUGCCUUUGAUACUGGGUGUCUUGAGUAUGGAAGAGGUGAGUGGAAUUCCGAGUGUAGAGGUGAAAUUCGUAGAUAUUCGGAGGAACACCAGUGGCGAAGGCGGCUCACUGGUCCAUUACUGACGCUGAGGUGCGAAAGCGUGGGGAGCAAACAGG
rnacentral:rRNA from 1 species